CAUAGGAAGUAGAAGAGGAGAACAAAAAACAAAAAUGAUGAAGAAAACAAAUUAAAGAAAUGUGCACAGAAUUCUAUAUUUGCCUGGACAAAAAAAGGGAACUGGACAACAACAAUGAUUCUGCUGGAACCUCUGAGAAAAAAUAAGACUGUGUCGAAAAGCAACUUGGUAUCAGGAGCCACAAAGUAGCUUUUGCUGAAGGACGGUGUCAGGGUCCCCAAAUAAAUAUAUUCUUUUCUCUUCCUAUGCUUUACUUGCCUUUGUAACCCUUCUUUGGGGCCUGCCAUUCUGUUGGGAGGGGGGAUGCUCUGAGAUGCCUUACACUGUCUUGCUGUUGUACCCUUCCGCAAGGAGAAGCAAUGCAUCUCCCUUAUCUGGGUGACAGUUGGUGCUUAGAGCCAGAAGGAAAAGAAAGCGAGAGAGACCUUAAAGAAUGCGCCAACGGAGCCAGUUACCAAAACAAUAUGCCACCUGUGGAUUGGUUAGAACUCAAAUGGACACUGGGACUCUGGGGGAGAGGAGUAAUAAAGAUUGUUUUUAAUAUAUUAUUUGCAUGG